rnacentral:rRNA from 1 species
GACGUAGGGCGCGAGCGUUGUCCGGAUUUAUUGGGCGUAAAGAGCUCGUAGGCGGCUUGUCGCGUCGAAUGUGAAAUCUCAGGGCUCAACUCUGACAUUGCAUUCGAUACGGGCAGGCUCGAGUUCGGUAGGGGAGACUGGAAUUCCGGGUGUAGCGGUGGAAUGCGUAGAGAUCCGGAAGAACACCGGUGGCGAAGGCGGUCUGCUGGGCCAAGACUGACGCUGAGGCGCGACAGCGUGGGGAGCAAACAGG